UCGAGCGAACAGAUAAGGAGCUUGCUCCUUUGACGUUAGCGGCGGACGGGUGAGUAACACGUGGGUAACCUACCUAUAAGACUGGGAUAACUUCGGGAAACCGGAGCUAAUACCGGAUAACAUUUGGAACCGCAUGGUUCUAAAGUGAAAGAUGGUUUUGCUAUCACUUAUAGAUGGACCCGCGCCGUAUUAGCUAGUUGGUAAGGUAACGGCUUACCAAGGCGACGAUACGUAGCCGACCUGAGAGGGUGAUCGGCCACACUGGAACUGAGACACGGUCCAGACUCCUACGGGAGGCAGCAGUAGGGAAUCUUCCGCAAUGGGCGAAAGCCUGACGGAGCAACGCCGCGUGAGUGAUGAAGGGUUUCGGCUCGUAAAACUCUGUUAUUAGGGAAGAACAAACGUGUAAGUAACUGUGCACGUCUUGACGGUACCUAAUCAGAAAGCCACGGCUAACUACGUGCCAGCAGCCGCGGUAAUACGUAGGUGGCAAGCGUUAUCCGGAAUUAUUGGGCGUAAAGCGCGCGUAGGCGGUUUCUUAAGUCUGAUGUGAAAGCCCACGGCUCAACCGUGGAGGGUCAUUGGAAACUGGGAAACUUGAGUGCAGAAGAGGAAAGUGGAAUUCCAUGUGUAGCGGUGAAAUGCGCAGAGAUAUGGAGGAACACCAGUGGCGAAGGCGACUUUCUGGUCUGUAACUGACGCUGAUGUGCGAAAGCGUGGGGAUCAAACAGGAUUAGAUACCCUGGUAGUCCACGCCGUAAACGAUGAGUGCUAAGUGUUAGGGGGUUUCCGCCCCUUAGUGCUGCAGCUAACGCAUUAAGCACUCCGCCUGGGGAGUACGACCGCAAGGUUGAAACUCAAAGGAAUUGACGGGGACCCGCACAAGCGGUGGAGCAUGUGGUUUAAUUCGAAGCAACGCGAAGAACCUUACCAAAUCUUGACAUCCUUUGAAAACUCUAGAGAUAGAGCCUUCCCCUUCGGGGGACAAAGUGACAGGUGGUGCAUGGUUGUCGUCAGCUCGUGUCGUGAGAUGUUGGGUUAAGUCCCGCAACGAGCGCAACCCUUAAGCUUAGUUGCCAUCAUUAAGUUGGGCACUCUAGGUUGACUGCCGGUGACAAACCGGAGGAAGGUGGGGAUGACGUCAAAUCAUCAUGCCCCUUAUGAUUUGGGCUACACACGUGCUACAAUGGACAAUACAAAGGGCAGCUAAACCGCGAGGUCAUGCAAAUCCCAUAAAGUUGUUCUCAGUUCGGAUUGUAGUCUGCAACUCGACUACAUGAAGCUGGAAUCGCUAGUAAUCGUAGAUCAGCAUGCUACGGUGAAUACGUUCCCGGGUCUUGUACACACCGCCCGUCACACCACGAGAGUUUGUAACACCCGAAGCCGGUGGAGUAACCAUU
rnacentral:rRNA from 1 species